UACAGAGGUCCCAAGCGUUGUUCGGAUUCACUGGGCGUAAAGGGUGCGUAGGUGGUGAGGUAAGUCGGAUGUGAAAUCUCGGAGCUCAACUCCGAAAUGGCAUUGGAAACUACCUCGCUAGAGGAUCGGAGGGGAGACUGGAAUUCUCGGUGUAGCAGUGAAAUGCGUAGAUAUCGAGAGGAACACCAGUGGCGAAGGCGAGUCUCUGGACGAUUCCUGACGCUGAGGCACGAAAGCGUGGGGAGCAAACAGG
rnacentral:rRNA from 1 species